CAUUAGAUGACUGAAAGUAAGUAUUGGUCUCUUAAACCAUUUUAUAGUAUAUUAACGAAUACUUCUAAUGA
rnacentral:tRNA from 1 species